rnacentral:rRNA from 1 species
CCUACGGGAGGCAGCAGUGGGGAAUAUUGCACAAUGGGCGCAACCCUGAUCCAGCGACGUCGCGUGAGUGAAGAAGUAUUUCGGUAUGUAAAGCUCUAUCAGCAGGGAAGAAAAUGACGGUACCUGUCUAACAAGCCCCGGCUAACUUCGUGCCAGCAGCCGCGGUAAUACGUAGGGGGCAAGCGUUAUCCGGAUUUACUGGGUGUAAAGGGAGCGUAGACGGCAGAGCAAGUCUGAAGUGAAAGCCCGCGGCCCAACUGCGGGACUGCUUUGGAAACUGCCAGCAUAGAGUGCUGGAGAGGUAAGCGGAAUUCGUAGUGUAGCGGUGAAAUGCGUAGAUAGUAGGAGGAACACCAGUGGCGAAGGCGGCUUACUGGACAGUAACUGACGUUGAGGCUCGAAAGCGUGGGGAGCAAACAGGAUUAGAUACCCCGGUAGUC